rnacentral:rRNA from 1 species
UAGAUACCCUGGUAGUCCACGCCCUAAACGAUGCGAACUGGAUGUUGGGUGCAAUUUGGCACGCAGUAUCGAAGCUAACGCGUUAAGUUCGCCGCCUGGGGAGUACGGUCGCAAGACUGAAACUCAAAGGAAUAGACGGGGACCCGCACAAGCGGUGGAGCAUGUGGUUUAAUUCGAAGAUACACGAAGAACCUUACCUAGGCUUGACAUGUCGAGAACUUUCCAGAGAUGGAUGGGUGCCUUCGGGAAC